rnacentral:tRNA from 1 species
UGCGGGAUAGAGUAGUGGUCACUCACGAGUCUCAUAAGCUCGUUUACGAAGGUUCAAUUCCUUCUCCCGCGUCCA